AUUUCAUUAAAUAUAAUAUAAUAUAAUAAAAAAAAGAGUUAAUAUUAUUAAAAAGAAUAAACAAAGUACACGAAGAAGAAGAAAAGGCAAUAAAUGACCUGUUCAUCUUGUUCCCUUCAUGCUCCUACUUUAUCUUUCUCACUGUUCUUCACUUUCAGAAGAAGCAGAGGCAGAGAUAUGAGUUGUCCGAAUUUGCUGCUUUCUAAUCCCAGAAAGCAUGCUACUUUACGACUCUCCAAAGUUUCCGGUCACACAACUGAAUUGUUAGAGAUUCAAUCUGAUAAGCCCACCUUUCAUGUUCUCUUUAUCCCUGGAAACCCAGGUGUUGUUUCGUUUUACAAGGAUUUCUUGGAAUCCCUGUAUGAGUUGCUUGGUGGAAGUGCUUCUGUUACAGCUAUUGGGCACAUAUCUCACACUGAAAAGAAUUGGGAGCACGGGAAGUUGUUCUCAUUACAAGAUCAAAUUGAUCAUAAGGUGGAUUUCAUCAAGCAGGAACUGCAAAAUAAUGAACUUCCUAUAGUACUGGUUGGGCACUCUAUUGGUUCCUACAUAUCACAUGAAAUACUAAGGUUUCUAGAGAAGGUUACAUAUUUGAUAGGACUAUACCCUUUUUUAAUGUUGAAUCCACUAUCAAAGCAACAGUCUAAUAUCCAGAAUGUCGCAGAGUCCUCCAUUUUGUCUGCUUUACUUAGUUUCAGUGUAGCAUCCUUGGGAUUGCUACCUCAGUGCACUUUAAGGUUUAUUCUGUCUAAAUCUCUUGGGAGUUCAUGGUCUGAUACUGCUAUUGAUGCUGCUUGUAGUCACUUGCUGCAGUACCAUACCAUCCGAAACAUGCUUUACAUGGCAUUGAUGGAAUUCAGAAAGCUUUCAGAAAUGCCAGAUUGGGCUUUCAUGAGAGAGAAUCACGAGAAAAUUGCUUUCUUAUUUGGUGUUGAUGACCACUGGGGUCCGCUGCAAAUGUUUGAAGAGGAUUGGGUAAUUUGCGCGCUUGUUGCCUUCCUUGGAUGGUAGGAUAAAGGCCUAUCAUGGUGGUGGUGGUGGGUGUCAGAGAAUUAGGGUUUAAUUCCGGAGAGGGAGCCUGAGAAACGACUACCACAUCCAUUAGAGGGCAAGUCUAGUGCCAGCAGUCAUGAUUUCGAAGCAGGUUCCUGGUAUUUCUCUAUCAAUUGAAAGGGAAGGCCAUACUCAUAGUUUCUGUUGCACUGAGGCUGGCUCGGAAUGGGUUGCCCACCAUGUAGCGAGCUUGAUUAAGAAAAAAAUAUCAAGCUGAGG